UUUUAUCAUCUUCCCACCACCACUUUGAUUUUUCUCUCUACCUCCCUCGCAACCUCAUCAUCUACAUUUUUUUUCUUGAUGCUACCAGUGACAUUCAGAUGUUCAUGUAUUUAGUUCAUUUGGAUAUAAAGCAUGGCAAAACUAGAUUUUUAUUUUUAUUUUGCACAUCCUACUCCUGUCUCUUGUCUCAUACACAAUUCUAAGUCCUCAACUCUUGAUACUGCUUUCUUAAGAAACAAAAUUAUUAUAUAUAUAUAUAUAACUGUGUAUAUAUAUACAUAUAUAUAUAUAUAUAUAUAUACUGUUUCUGUGAGAGUACUGUCUGCCCCCUCCUGCUCCGAACUUACAUUUGCCAUUUGUGCAAUGUGUACAUAAGCAGUAGCAACCUUAAACUAUUCUUUUUCUUUAGUUUGUUAAAGCUGCUAUAAAUAUAAAACCUUGUCAGAAGUUGUAACUCAAAAAUUUCCCUCUAUAAGUGAUGUGUAUCCUAAAACCUUCUGUUUCUAUGGGUUAUACAUGAAAAUCCCUUAUAGCUUUUAUAAAGGGCAAAUAUUUUAAAUGAUUGGAAGUCUUUAGGGUUGAGGCCUCUGAAAUUGGGUGGAGAGAGAGAAGGGGUUAUUGAGGAUUUUUUUAAUUUUAAUUUUUUUUUGCUAGUUUACUUGCUGCCUCUCAUACCUUAAUGUGAUUUUCAUAUAUAUAUAUUUUUAUAUAUAUGUGUGUAUAUAUAAACAUAUAUGUAUGUGUUUUGAAGUACAGCUUCCUUUUCUUUUAUAUUUAUUAGAAUAGUGCUUUAAUAAUUAGAGAACUGUAUUGGCAACAUCUUUUAUAGAAAUGUAAUCAUGUUUAUUUUAAGAACUGACAACUUGUUUUUGCUGUCUUUUAGUGCAAUAAGCAGUUUUAAAGGAAAGCUGUGUCUGUUUGAUAUCUUUACCACAGAUAGUGGGAGAAACAGGCACCUCCAUAAUUUUAAAAGGGCAAAGUAAUACAGCCUUAAUUUCAGAAGGAAAGUUUUUUGUAAUUUUUCAAGUUUAAAGCAUGUCUUUUAAAAAUCAAAAUGAAAAUGAAGGAAGUUGAAUUUCCUACGUGAGUCUGACAUUGAAUAUUAGAGACAGAGAUGAGCUUUGAUUUAGGAAAUGAUGGUGAAUAGGGGCACCUGGCUGACUCAGUCACUAGAGCAUGUGACUCUUGAUCUUUGAUUUGUGAGUCCAAGCCGCAUGUUGGGCAUGGAGCCUACUUACAAAAAUAGCUUAAGAUUUAGAAGACAUUUAAUUCUUUGAAAAUAGAUCGUGUUUAUUGAACAAUCAUACUGGUUAGGUGCCCAUUUUCAUUUACUAAAAUUAAUCAAGAAAAUGUAAAAUGAUACUUUAAAAACAUUUUUUUGCCAAUUUAUCAGCAGUGUAACUUUCCUUUUAAAAUUAGGGUUAUGAUGGCAAAGGAAGUUAGGACUUUGAUCAUUUUAAAUAAGUUAAAUCACUGAAAUGUGGAAAAAGUUUUAUAAAACUUCUGUUUUAUUGGUUUCAUUCACUUUAAGAUAUUAAAAAGUAUUAUAGAGCUGUCAAAAUCGAGUUCAUCAGUAACAUGGAAUCAGGGGAGCUUUGCACUUUGUGACUCAUGAAAAUUGCAUUUUAAUUUUUUUUUUUUUGCACUGGUUCAGAGUAUAGAUACUACAGAUUGUUUCCAGUGGGCAUUGUUAAACCUUUCAGAAUUCCAUCUGCACAUGAUAACAAAUGGAUUAGUUCUUUAGUUUCUCUCUUACCUAUAAUUCGCUCUUAUUUGCCAAUUUACUGUAUUUUGAGCCUAAAAUCUGAGCCCAUGUCCUCCAACAGGUAUGAAAUCUUUCGUUCCUCUGCCAGAAAACUAAGAAAGUACUGUAUUUUGUAUGUUUAUUAUUGAAGUGUCUGAAAUGCAAUUUACAACACUGUUUCAAAGCUCUUUACAUGAAGUAAUAUUUGUAUAGUAUAUACAUUUUUUUCUCCCAACCCUCCCCUUCUCCUACAAAAAUUUCCUAUAAAGCAUGUAUUUUUUUUUUUACAUAGAAAUUUCACUAAAUAUAGUCAGGAACAUGAAAACCGUAUAUCCUAGAUGGUAAAAACUUGAUUGCUGUAUGUUCUCUCAGUAUGAGUAAUAUACCUUCCUUUACCAAUAGAAGUUACACAGACUUAUGUGGAAAACUGUAGGGCCCAGGGAAGAACUGUAGAUACCUUUUUCCUAUUUACUGCUUCACCUAAUUUUCAGUUACUUAGCUUUCCAUGUGCUAGAAUGAAACCCGUAAUUUAAAUCUAUUUAGGACUUUUACUGAGGAAAAACCAUUUUUUUAAAUAUAAAGCUUUACCUUUAAAGUAAGUUCUUUUUUAGGGUUUCUUUCUUACAGUUUCACAUUGCUAGUUUAAGAUUGGUUAACUUGAAAGAAUAUGUAUAGUAUAUUUUGCUUACUAACAAAUUGGUAUAUCAAACUUAAUUAAAAGAAACCUUGUGCUUAGAAUUUUAAGAUAAAAGACUAAGUGGCAAAUACUUUUUGAGAUUUGUUUUAAUUAUUGCACUUCUGGUAUAGAAUUCUUGAUCUUUUUUUAUUAAAAAAAAUUUUUUAAAGAUUGUUUUGGAUUUAAAGGUCAUGAAACUCAACAAUGACCUUUCUGUUCCUGCCUUUGCUCACUAAACUAUAUAAUGAAUGCUAAGUUUUGGUCUGCUGUUUUCUAUGAUGCAUAAGAGUAACUUUAAAAUGUCAGUCCCAGCCACUGGUAUAAUUGAUUUUCAUGUGAAGAAGAGUUGGGAGUUUAAUGUAUAUUCUGGAUGGCAAAUGUGUCUGGGUAGAGUGCUGAUAUAUGUUAUUACAGUAUCCAGUUACUGGCAUUGAGGACCAUACAUUCAUAAUACUGUAGCUGCUAUAUUUAUUUAAUUAUGUAGAGUCUGACAGUUACUGCACUAAACAAUAGGGAGAUGAGCAGGAUUGGAGGCUAGUAUUAGAUACCACCCCCCCCCCCUUUUUUUUUUCCUAAAUAAGAUUAAGAACAUGAAAUAAGGUAACAAAGGGUGCUGCCAUUUUAGUUUCAAUAUAGUAUUAGGAUACUCUUUGUUUUAGAUGUGUGGGUUUUUACUUUAGGGGUUUUGCAAAAGGGUACCUCAACCUCCUCAGUACUGGUUUUUGGCAUAUUUUCACAGAAGUACAGAUGCCCUUUAUUUUUUAAUAUUUUAGCUUUUAACAAGUUACUCAGAAAAAAAAAAAAAAAGUUCCUCUAUGGAAAUCUACCUGUUUGUAAUCUAUUAAUUUAUUUCUCUUCCUAAAAGAGUCUAGAAGGGAUUCUAGUAGGAAUGUACCGGGUGUUUUGGAAGGCAUUUGAUAAAAGAUUCAUCUCUACCUUCUAGCAUAGGGACUCCUAGCCUUCUAAAGACCAAUACUAGUUUUCCAAACUAGGUUCUCUGAUGACCCACCACUGCCUAAUGUUUACUUGUAUAUUAUGUAAUGGAUUUUAGUAUGACAGACUUAGAGGAAAUUAAAUCUGAGUUGCCAUUCAGUAGAAAUGGCUGGCAGAGGAUCUCUGUUUAAGAAAGAGGUCAACACUCAAGAGUGCCGGUAAUAGAUCUGAAGUAAUUGGAUUAUAGUCCCGGAAUUAGAGACCAUUGUUGAAAGAAAGUUGGUGUUUUCAGAGGCUAACAUGAAUUUGCCGAGGGUGGUGAUUUUUAUGACAUCCAUCAAGCUAGCCACUUGGAUUCAGCUAGAAGAAUUUGUAACAGUCCUGGUAUUUCAAACUGGAUAGAAAUAUUAUGUCAGAAAGCUUAACUGAUAACUCCGUAUAGUUUUUAUUCAGUAUUAUUAAACCUGAGUUAAAUAUUUGGUUAGAUCAUCUGUUAGAUGUUUUCCUGAGUAUUUUUAAAAGACAGGUUGCUCCAUCAGUAACUUGCUACUUAAAUUAUCUUUUUUGAGUUAUCAGUGAAGCUGAAAAAAGACAUCAUUGGCUUGGCGUCUUUAUUUUGUUUUUUUAAUCCAUAAAAAGUUUUAAUCCUUUAUACAUUCUUUUUGAGAAUUCAUGGAUGUCUUAAAGCUUCAAUAAUAAUAGUUGGGAUAUUAUUAUAUUAUAAUAUCAAGUGAGGCCUCCCUGACUCUACAGUCUGUCUUUAUUUUCUUAUAUCCCUCCCAUUUGAUCAUAUAAAGCACUUUCAUGAUUCUAUAGGAUUCAAAGUUAAAAAAAAAAAAAAAAGCCAAGAAUAGAUGUGUAAAAUCAGAACAGAAAUGUG
rnacentral:lncRNA from 1 species